rnacentral:rRNA from 1 species
GAUGAACGCUGGCGGCGUGCCUAAUACAUGCAAGUCGAGCGAACAGACGAGGAGCUUGCUCCUCUGACGUUAGCGGCGGACGGGUGAGUAACACGUGGAUAACCUACCUAUAAGACUGGGAUAACUUCGGGAAACCGGAGCUAAUACCGGAUAAUAUAUUGAACCGCAUGGUUCAAUAGUGAAAGACGGUUUUGCUGUCACUUAUAGAUGGAUCCGCGCCGCAUUAGCUAGUUGGUAAGGUAACGGCUUACCAAGGCAACGAUGCGUAGCCGACCUGAGAGGGUGAUCGGCCAAACUGGAACUGGGAACCGGUCCAGACUCCUAAGGGAGGCAGCAGUAGGGAAUCUUCCGCAAUGGGCGAAAGCCUGACGGAGCAACGCCGCGUGAGUGAUGAAGGUCUUCGGAUCGUAAAACUCUGUUAUUAGGGAAGAACAAAUGUGUAAGUAACUAUGCACGUCUUGACGGUACCUAAUCAGAAAGCCACGGCUAACUACGUG